UUCCGUAGGUGAACCUGCGGAAGGAUCAUUAGAAAAUCGGUUGCCGGCCACCCCGGUGGAGGCAUGGCGGGGGCUGGAACAUGCCCUCGCCGUGUUGUCCCUUGUGGACUCCCCGAUCGGUGCUUAGCCGUCGCUCCCUCCCUUGAUUAUGCGCACCUUUUGUUGUUUCCUCGGCAGGUAUCCUGCCGCUGGAACCCCGUAAACCCUUUGUAUUAAGCAUUAAACUUCUGAAAACCACGUAAUUAUUUACAACUUUCAACAAUGGAUCUCUUGGUUCUGGCAUCGAUGAAGAACGCAGCGAAAUGCGAUAAGUAGUGUGAAUUGCAGAAUUCAGUGAAUCAUCGAAUCUUUGAACGCACAUUGCGCCCCUUGGUAGUCCAUGGGGCAUGCCUGUUCGAGCGUCAUCUAAACCCUCAGGCCUUUUGGGUGUUGUCCCGCCUUCGUGCGGCACUCCGCCCGGCUUGGUGUUGGGCGUCUGUCCCGCUGCGUGCGCGGACUCGCCCCAAAUACAUUGGCAGCGGCCCUUCAGCUUCCAGCGCAGCACAAUGCGUCUUGGAGCGCAGCAAGGGCACGCGUCCACUAAGCAAACCACAGUUGACCUCGGAUCAGGUAGGGAUACCCGCUGAAC
rnacentral:rRNA from 1 species